CCAUCGCCCAAACCCUUCGCCGCUCGAAGCCAUUGCCGCAACAGGUCCUUGCCUCUCUGCUCUCUCUGCCUCUCUUCACUACCGUCGCCGUCGCCGUCGCCGGACUCCUCUCUACCUCUCGGCACUCACCGCCACCAGCUGUAGGAAUCCUCUCCGCCUAUCUGCAGUGACCAUCGCCGGCCGCCCGACUCCACUCUGCCUCUCCGCACUCGCCGUCGUCUGCUACAAGACUUCCUUCCAUCUCUCCGUAUCAUAGGACCACAGCAAGAGUAAGCAAGCCCUUUGCUAACCACUUCACACUCUACACAAAAGCUCAAGGCCAAAGGUAACCCUAAUCUCAAGUCCCUAAACUUAUUUGUGCGACACUGCUAGACUCUUUCACUUUUGUGAACUGUGUUCAGCUUUGAUUGUUGUACACUUACAAAGUAUGAGCACUUAAAUGCUCAUUUUAGAAAUGAUUUUUGCAAGCCAUUGCGCCAUGCUCUGCUUUUGCUUAUAGGAAGUGCAAAUGGAGUUGUAUGGCUUGUGGUAUAUUUAUAGGCAAAAGGAUACAUAUAUAACAGUGACCACUUCUCAAUUCUAAGUUAUAUAGUAAACAUCUUCUUUAUAUCAGUGACCACUUCUCAAUUCUAAGUUAUAUAGUGAACAUCUUCUUUAUAUUUUUCACAUCAGAUGCAGUUAAUUAGUUUUAUAUUAGAUUGUGGUCAUCUAAGUUAUAUAAUGAAAAUUUUCUUUAUAUUUUUCACAUCAGAUGUAAUUAGUUUUAUAUUAGCUUGUGGUCAAUGAUUAUUAAUUGGAUCGUUGCAAAAUAUUAUGAUGAGGAAUCACUUUUUUAUAUUUAGGUUUUUUAUUUAUUAUGUGAUGUUUUCUUAUACAUAUAUUUUGAUAAAAUCUCAUAAUUAUUUCAUAUAAAUGAAGAAGUGAAAGAUAGGAUAUGGAGUUAUCUUCAGGAAAUAUAUUUAGUUACUUAAUUUUUUAUUUCCAUUUUUAUAACAAAUUGUAGACAUAUUUUUGUAUUAUUAAAUGUACAGAUGACUUAUAAAGUUGAGGAUUGAGAAAAGAAAUCAAUUUUUCAAAAGUUAGCUAAAUUGUGGCGCGACAGAAAAUCCAAAUUGCAAUACUUGUACGAGAAGCUAAUACAAGUCAAGUGGCUUCACGAGAUCUUAGUUUGUUGAAGCCUGAAUUUAUGGACCAAAAUCAGUGGGACUUGUUUGUACAGAGGACAUUAUCAUCUACCUUUCAAGAAAAGAGUGCAAGAUUUAGAGCAAUGAGGGAAAAACAAGACCACAUUCACACAAUGAGUCGGAGGGGUUAUGCUCGUUUGACUCACAUUAUGGAAAAGACAAGUUCGAUAGAUACAAAAAUUACGAGAUCGCAAGUUUGGAUUGAAGGUCACAAGAAAAAAAAUGGGGAGCCCAGUACUCAAGCCGUUGGAGAGAAAACGAUAAGCAUGUUCACUCAUUUUAGAUUUCUUUGAAAAAAAAUAUUAGAAUGUCCAUCCGAAUCUCAAAACACAACUAAUAUUGUUGAUGAUGCAAUUAGCAUUGUGUUUGGCAAAGAAGCUCGGGGUAGAGUGCGCGGAAUGGGCUUUGGAGUAACACCAUCGAAAGUUGGAGCUUCUGUGCAACAAAAUAGAACGGUUCAACAACUUCAAACUAUAGUACAAAAUGUUCAACAAAAAAUGCAAGAAAUGAGGCAACAAAAUCAACUAGAAAUGCAAGAAAUGAGGUCUAUGUUUUUACAAAGUAUGAGACAACAAAAUCAUCCAGAACAGAUUGCUAGUGGUGGCAUUUGUAGCAAUAUUGGGAAUGAAUUUGGUAGUAAUAGCGAUAUCAAUAUUGGUGCCAAAAAAAGUGUUUUUCAGUCAAAUUUGAGAAAUGUGAGUCGUGGAAAUAUCUGUGCUAAUACUAAAUGUAAGCUGCUUCAUUGAUAUGUUGAAGAAUUAGUUGUAGCAGAAGGUCGAAUUGCAUCCACAGAUCCAAACACAAAAGUGCAUCACGUUAUUCUUGGUGGAUCAUGUUGGAAAGUUUGGGUUGAUAAAGUUUUGGUGGAAAAGGUGGCCCUAAUUGGACCAAAUGAUGAAAUGCAGUUUCUUGAUGAUGCAAUAGGAAGCACGGUUGCAUGGUUAUCAAAAUUUAUAGUAUUGUGUGAUUGAUACAUAAUAUACUAAUUUGUGUGGAAUCGUAAGUUUAAUUGUUGAUAUGUAAUAACUAGUUUAAUCGAA